AUUGAACGCUGGCGGCAGGCUUAACACAUGCAAGUCGAGCGGAGUGAUGGUGCUUGCACUAUCACUUAGCGGCGGACGGGUGAGUAAUGCUUAGGAAUCUGCCUAUUAGUGGGGGACAACAUCUCGAAAGGGAUGCUAAUACCGCAUACGUCCUACGGGAGAAAGCAGGGGAUCACUUGUGACCUUGCGCUAAUAGAUGAGCCUAAGUCGGAUUAGCUAGUUGGUGGGGUGAAGGCCUACCAAGGCGACGAUCUGUAGCGGGUCUGAGAGGAUGAUACGCCACACUGGGACUGAGAAACGGCCCAGACUCCUACGGGAGGCAGCAGUGGGGAAUAUUGGACAAUGGGGGGAACCCUGAUCCAGCCAUGCCGCGUGUGUGAAGAAGGCCUUAUGGUUGUAAAGCACUUUAAGCGAGGAGGAGGCUCUUUUGGUUAAUACCCAAGAUGAGUGGACGUUACUCGCAGAAUAAGCACCGGCUAACUCUGUGCCAGCCGCCGCCGUAA
rnacentral:rRNA from 1 species